rnacentral:rRNA from 1 species
CCUACGGGAGGCAGCAGUGGGGAAUAUUGCACAAUGGGGGAAACCCUGAUGCAGCGACGCCGCGUGAGUGAAGAAGUAUUUCGGGAUGUAAAGCUCUAUCAGCCGGGAAGAAAUAGCGACCUUUGGGUCGCCAGACGGUACCUGAUUAAGAAGACCCGGCUAACUACGUGCCAGCAGCCGCGGUAAUACGUAGGGGGCACGCGUUAUCCGGAUUUACUGGGGGUAAAGGGAGCGUGGACGGCAGCGCAAGUCUGAGGGGAAAUGCCGGGGCUUAACCCCGGAACUGCUUUGGAAACUGGGUAGGUAGAGUGCAGGAGAGGUAAGUGGAAUUCCUGGUGUAGCGGUGAAAUGCGUAGAUAUUAGGAGGAACACCAGUGGCGAAGGCGGCUUACUGGACUGUAACUGACGUUGAGGCUCGAAAGCGUGGGGAGCAAACAGGAUUAGAUACCCUAGUAGUC